UACGGAAGGCAGCAGUGGGGAAUAUUGCACAAUGGGCGCAAGCCUGAUGCAGCCAUGCCGCGUGUAUGAAGAAGGCCUUCGGGUUGUAAAGUACUUUUCAGCGGGGAGGAAGGCGGUGAAGUUAAUAGCUUCACCGAUUGACGUUACCCGCAGAAGAAGCACCGGCUAACUCCGUGCCAGCAGCCGCGGUAAUACGGAGGGUGCAAGCGUUAAUCGGAAUUACUGGGCGUAAAGCGCACGCAGGCGGUCUGUCAAGUCGGAUGUGAAAUCCCCGGGCUUAACCUGGGAACUGCAUUCGAACUGGCAGGCUAGAGUCUUGUAGAGGGGGUAGAAUUCCAGGUGUAGCGGUGAAAUGCGUAGAGAUCUGGAGGAAUACCGGUGGCGAAGGCGGCCCCUGGGACAAGACUGACGCUCAGGGU
rnacentral:rRNA from 1 species